rnacentral:tRNA from 1 species
UGGGGUGUGGCUCAGUGGUAGAGCAUUUGCCCACCCUGGGGAAGGCUCUGGGUUUCACCCCAGCAUCUCAC